AGGAGGAACAACCCCAGUGGUUGCUGCAGCUCUGGAAACCUGGAUUCAGCUCCCGCAGGAACUACUCCACCUGCAGGGCCUGGAGGCUCCGGGGCGGG
rfam:Canis lupus familiaris chromosome 35, whole genome shotgun sequence.